GACGAACCGUGCGAACGUUGUUCGAGAUCACUGGGCUUAAAGGGCGCGUAGGCGGGCUGACAAGUCUGGGGUGAAAUGCCGCGGCUCAACCGUGGAACUGCCUCAGAUACUGUCGGCCUCGAGGAAGGUAGGGGCAUGCGGAACUGUAGGUGGAGCGGUGAAAUGCGUUGAUAUCUACAGGAACUCCGGUGGCGAAAGCGGCGUGCUGGACCUUUUCUGACGCUGAGGCGCGAAAGCUAGGGGAGCAAACGGG
rnacentral:rRNA from 1 species